rnacentral:rRNA from 1 species
AAGGAUCAUUACAGAGUUCAUGCCCUCACGGGUAGAUCUCCCACCCUUGAAUAUUAUACCUUAGUUGCUUUGGCAGGCCGGGGCAACCCCCGGGGCUUCGGCCUUGGUGUGCCUGCCAGAGGAAACAAACUCUGUUUUUAGUGAUGUCUGAGUACUAUAUAAUAGUUAAAACUUUCAACAACGGAUCUCUUGGUUCCGGCAUCGAUGAAGAACGCAGCGAAAUGCGAUAAGUAAUGUGAAUUGCAGAAUUCAGUGAAUCAUCGAAUCUUUGAACGCACAUUGCGCCCCGUGGUAUUCCGCGGGGCAUGCCUGUUCGAGCGUCAUUUCAACCCAUCAAGCUUCGGCUUGGUCUUGGGGCCUGCGAUUCCGCAGCCUCUAAACCCAGUGGCGGUGCCUCCGAGCUCUGAGCGUAGUAAUUCUUCUCGCUAUAGGGUCUCGGUGGUGUCUUGCCAGUAACCCCCAAUUUUUUACAGGUUGACCUCGGAUCAGGUAGGGAUACCCGCUGAACUUAAGCAUAUCAAUAAGCGGAGGAAAAGAAACCAACAGGGAUUACCUCAGUAACGGCGAGUGAAGCGGUAACAGCUCAAAUUUGAAGUCUGCCGCAAGGCCGAGUUGUAAUUUGUAGAAGAUGCUUUGGGUAUGGCCCCGGUCUAAGUUCGUUGGAACACGACGUCAUAGAGGGUGAGAAUCCCGUAUGUGACUGGGUGCUUUUGCCUAUGUAAAGCUCUUUCGACGAGUCGAGUUGUUUGGGAAUGCAGCUCAAAAUGGGUGGUAUAUUUCAUCUAAAGCUAAAUAUUGGCCAGAGACCGAUAGCGCACAAGUAGAGUGAUCGAAAGAUGAAAAGCACUUUGGAAAGAGAGUUAAACAGUACGUGAAAUUGUUGAAAGGGAAGCGCUUGCAACCAGACUUGCACGCUGUUGAUCAUCCAGGCUUCUGUCUGGUGCACUCGGCAGCGUUCAGGCCAGCAUCGGUUCUGGUGGUGGGAUAAAGGCCUUGGGAAUGUAGCUUCUUUCGGGGAGUGUUAUAGCCCUCGGUGCAAUGCCGCCUAUCGGGACCGAGGACCGCGCUUCGGCUAGGAUGCUGGCGUAAUGGUUGUAAGCGACC